rnacentral:rRNA from 1 species
GGGAAGCCCUUAAGCUGCCGCCUGGGGAGUACGGCCGCAAGGCUGAAACUUAAAGGAAUUGGCGGGGGAGUACCACCAGGCGUGAAGCCUGCGGUUUAAUUGGAGUCAACGCCGGGAACCUUACCGGGAGCGACAGCAGGGUGAAGGCCAGGUUGAAGGUCUUGCCGGACGAGCUGAGAGGAGGUGCAUGGCCGUCGCCAGUUCGUGCCGUAAGGUGUCCUCUUAAGUGAGGUAACGAACGAGACCCGCGCCCCUUGUUGCCAGCAGAUCCUAAAGGGAUGCUGGGCACUUAGAGGGACCGCUAUCGAUAAGAUAGAGGAAGGUGCGGGCAACGGCAGGUCAGUAUGCCCCGAAUCUCCCGGGCCACACGCGGGCUGCAAUGGUAGGGACAGAGGGCUGCGACACUGAGAGGUGAAGCCAAUCCCUAAACCCUACCUCAGUUGGGAUUCGAGGGCUGCAACCCGUCCUCGUGAACAUGGAAUGCUAGUAUCCGCGUGUCAUCAUCGCGCG